rnacentral:tRNA from 1 species
AGACAAAUAACUAAAUGUAAGUAUGUCAAUUACACUGAUAAAAUGAUUAAAUAAUUAUCUUUGUCUU